rnacentral:pre_miRNA from 1 species
CAAGUACUCCCUUUGUCUGGAAUUACUUGUCAUCAAAAUGGAUGUGUCUAGAACUAAAAUACAUCAAGAUACAUUGUUUUCAACGACAAGUAUUUUCGGACGGAGGGAGUACAAG